GACGUCAAGUCCUCAUGGCCCNUUUNANGNUGGGCUACACACGUGCUACAAUGGCAUCUACAGCUNAGCAGCGAUCCCGCGAGGGUUAGCUAAUCUCCAAAAGAUGUCUCAGUUCGGAUUGUUCUCUGCAACUCGAGAGCAUGAAGGCGGAAUCGCUAGUAAUCGCGGAUCAGCAUGCCGCGGUGAAUACGUUCCCAGGCCUUGUACACACCGCCCGUCACACCAUGGGAGUUGGUUUCACCCGAAGAUCGUGCGCUAACCUUUUAGGAGGCAGCGAGCCACGGUGGGAUCAGCGACUGGGGUGAAGUCGUAACAAGGUAGCCGUAGGGGAACCUGCGGCUGGAUCACCUCCUUUCUAAGGAUACAAGCGAAAGCGCCAGACCUAGAGUUUGGAAGGGCUUCGCGAGUUCCAAAGAACAUUGCCGUCGUCCUCAUGUCCUUUCAUCAAUCAGAUACAUCGCAACCUUCGGGCUGCGUUGUUUGCCUGAGCUGGCUCGCGCCGCAAUCGGCUUUUAAGAGUCGGUUCAUUGGUGCAGGUCCGUAGCUCAGUUGGUUAGAGCGCACCCCUGAUAAGGGUGAGGUCGGUGGUUCAAAUCCACUCGGACCUACCAUCUCCUUUGAGAUGGGUGUUCACCGCUUCUAUGGGGCCUUAGCUCAGCUGGGAGAGCACCUGCUUUGCAAGCAGGGGGUCAUCGGUUCGAUCCCGAUAGGCUCCACCAGAGGCAUUAUCUGAUGAUGAAAUGAAACAGAUCCGGUUUCGACCGGUCAGGCGGAUUUGCCGCCGAACUUUUGACAUUGUGAAUGGGUUUUUAAAUCGAUGCCGUGGGCGCAUAGAUGGUUUAGAAGGUCUAGCCNGNCCUUAUAAGCGUUAAUUCUGUGCAUCACUUAUCAAUCNAAAUUGAUUAUCUGGCUGAAAAAAAUUCCUCCGCACUNUCGUGAANANGAUCAGGCUUUUAUGCAGGCCUGUUGUUGAUGGNGNGGAAUUCUCAAGCGUGAGGUAANANCAUUUGGGGGANACCUAGGCA
rnacentral:sRNA from 1 species